rnacentral:rRNA from 1 species
CCGCACGAGCGCACCCUUGUCUUAUGUUGCCAGCACGUUAUGGUGGGGACUCAUGAGAGACUGCCGGGGUUAACUCGGAGGAAGGUGGGGACGACGUCAAGUCAUCAUGCCCCUUAUGUCCAGGGCUUCACACAUGCUACAAUGGCCGGUACAAUGCGCAGCGAGCCUGUGAGGGUGAGCUAAUCGCUUAAAGCUGGUCUUAGUUCGGAUUGGGGUCUGCAACUCGACCCCAUGAAGUCGGAGUCGCUAGUAAUCGUGGAUCAGAAUGCCACGGUGAAUACGUUCCCGGGCCUUGUACACACCGCCCGUCACACCAUGGGAGUGGGCUGCAAAAGAAGUGGAUAGCUUAACCUUCGGGAGGGCGUUCACCACUUUGUGGUUCAUGACUGGGGUGAAGUCGUAACAAGGUAGCCGUAGGGGAACCUGCGGCUGGAUCACCUCCUU